rnacentral:lncRNA from 1 species
GUAAAGCUAGAGUUCCGUCUGUAUGGUAGGAAAAAUUCUAGAAUGCAACGGGUAUAUUAGUGACGUGGCGUAACAAACUAAUCAAAUUAAUCCUUUUAAGAAUAUAUGUCCCAUCAUGAUUGUAAAAAAAUAUUUUUAUUGUACUUUUGUUUAAAAAGAAGGAAUGUGAUUGGCUUGUUAUUGAUGACGUGGUACAAGUGUGACAGUGUAGAAUUCCUCCCAAGAAAGGGUGUAGGCCCCAU